rnacentral:ribozyme from 16 species
GCUACACAUGUAGAGAGAGAGAGAGAGAGAGAGAAAGAACAAGAGGCAACGAGGGGCAUGGCAUUGCCUUUUUCUUUCUUUUUUGGUUUCUCUCUCUCCUCAUUUCCUUU